UAGAAAGCCAACUGAAAGUUACGCACUUUCAGUCUGCAAGUAGUUUCAAUAAUUACGAGAAUUGUACUGGCGACUGAAGCCAAAGAAAAAUUCAAAUGGUUUUAUAUUUGGCGCCAAAGAUCGUAAGCGUAGAUUACCGAUUAGGUAAACUAAGAGUUGCCAUCCGAGAUGCAGCUUCUUAUCAGCUGUAUGCAGGUAUGCACUGAAAAGCUCUAUUUACCUAUGAUGGCGUAAGGUUGGAUCGACAUAGAUUUCCGCUCUAGGAGCUUAGAUUCUUUUCGAUUCAACCUCCAUAGCAGAAAGACCUGUGCACAUUACCCAGAUAAACCUGCCUAAUCUGCCAACCCACCCAAGGAAGGAAGAAAAAUAGGAACCCUCAGGAGUUACUGGCCUUACUCAGGAAAAUCCCCCUCCACGUGCCUCAUCCAUCGGCCCGGCAUCCAGGUGAAGCAAGCCCUGAGCCGGCCCAGCGAUCAUCAAGUGUCCCGCGGAGCGCCUUAUUCAUCCCAUCGAGGGAUCGGCAACUCCGUGGGCCAGCAGUUUUAGUUGUGACAGUGGGCGAAAAAGCCUAGUGGGAGUGAAAACGUGAAUUUAACCUAAAAUCCCCAAAACCUCGUGCACACUGAGGAAAAUAUAAGACAAAAAAAACUAUAAUGAAAAAAUAUUAAAUAAUAAAGAUUAAUGCUUGCGAGCUACAAAAAAACAAAAACGUGAACGAAAAAUGUGCAGAAACGAAAAUUAAAAUUUAUUUUUUUUUGGUUAUACCAAAAUUUUCUAAGUGAAAUACACUACAAACAAUGAAGUGAGAAUUCUAAUGAACAAACCUUAAAAUAUGAUUAAGCUAAAACAGUGCUAAAAAAAUAAAUAUUAUAAAAGAACUAAAUGCGAAGGUGAAAACGAAAACCUAAAAGAAAAUGUUAAAAGGAAAGAUAAAUAGUUAAAAAUGUUAUAAAUAAAUAAUAAGUUAAAAAAAUGGGAAAAUUUAUAUAAAUAAAGUUAAAAUGUGAAAGCGUGCGGCAAAGAGAAAUUAGAAAGGCUCCUCGAAAUUUAAAUUGUUAAUUUCUAUUUUUAUUUUUAUUUUUUUUGAUUUUUUUCUUUUUUAUUUUUGUUUUGGUUGCUGAGUUUGGUUUGAAAAGAGCAAGAAGCACUGAAAGAAAAGCUCUGAUGUGUUACAAAAAAAAAAAAAAAAUUUAAAUUAUUUGCGUCUCCGAAUUUCCCGAAAAUUAUGGGAAAAGCCCCCCCCAAAAUUCCGUUUUUUCAGCACGCCAGCGCGGGAGAUCGAUCUUUCGUCAUGGAAAUGCAAGUGAGUUUGUUUUCUUAAUUUAUAUUUACUUUUUACAACACAAAAAAUUAACUGCAUGAAAUUAUCGUUUUUUUUUUGUUGUUGGUGUAAGUUACAUUCUCACUAAAACGAAUUUUGCGAAAUAGAAAGA